GUGUGUACAAUAGGCAAAUCCGUUGUAUAAUCCGAAGACGUGAUGUGGAGCGAAAUAAAGUAGUGAAGCGUGUGAGCCAUGUGCCGAGAAAAGCUGCUAUUGUGUAAUGCGUGCCCGUACCGUAAACCGACACAGGUGGAUGAGGAGAGAAUCCUAAGGCCGACGGAAGAAGCAUUGUUAAGGAAUUCGGCAAAAUGACCCCGUAACUUCGGGAGAAGGGGUGCCUGCGAGAGCAGGCCGCAGAGAAUAGGCUCAAGCAACUGUUUAGCAAAAACACAGGUCUAUGCGAAACCGAAAGGUGAAGUAUAUGGGCUGACGCCUGCCCGGUGCUGGAAGGUUAAGAGGAGAGGUUAGCGUAAGCGAAGCCUUGAAUUUAAGCCCCAGUAAACGGCGGCCGUAACAAUAACGGUCCUAAGGUAGCGAAAUUCCUUGUCGGGUAAGUUCCGACCCGCACGAAAGGCGUAAUGAUUUGAGCACUGUCUCGACAAUGCAUCCGGUGAAAUUGAAGUACCAGUGAAGAUGCUGGUUACCCGCGCCAGGACGGAAAGACCCCAUGGAGCUUUACUCCAGUUUGAUACUGGGAUUCGGUACUGCAUGUACAGGAUAGGUGGGAGACGAAGAAGAAUGGACGCCAGUCUGUCCGGAGUCGCUGUUGGGAUACCACCCCUGUAGUACUGGGUUUCUAACCAGUUGCCAUGAACUGGCAAUGGGACAAUGUCAGGCGGGGAGUUUGACUGGGGCGGUCGCCUCCGAAAGGGUAUCGGAGGCGCUCAAAGGUUCCCUCAGAAUGGUUGGAAACCAUUUGAAGAGUGCAAAGGCAGAAGGGAGCUUGACUGCGACACCGACGGGUGGAGCAGGUACGAAAGUAGGACUUAGUGAUCCGGUGGUAUAAAGUGGGAUUGCCAUCGCUCAACGGAUAAAAGCUACCCUGGGAUAACAGGCUUAUCACUCCCAAGAGUUCACAUCGACGGAGUGGUUUGGCACCUCGAUGUCGGCUCAUCGCAUCCUGGGGCUGUAGCAGGUCCCAAGGGUUGGGCUGUUCGCCCAUUAAAGCGGUACGCGAGCUGGGUUCAGAACGUCGUGAGACAGUUCGGUCCCUAUCCGGCGCGGGCGGAGGAUAUUUGAGAGGAGCUGUCCUUAGUACGAGAGGACCGGGAUGGACGGACCACUGGUGUAUCUGUUGUCGACCAACGGCAUGGCAGAGUAGCCAAGUCUGGAAGGGAUAAACGCUGAAGGCAUCAAAGCGUGAAGCCCCCCUCAAGAUGAGAUAUCCCUCCUUCGGGAGUAAGACCCCUUGAAGACUACAAGGUAGAUAGGGCAGAGGUGGAAGCAUGGCAACAUGUGGAGCUGACUGUUACUAAUAGGUCGAGGGCUUAAU
rnacentral:rRNA from 1 species